GGGCCGGUAGCUUAGUCCGGUUAAAGCACCUGGCUCUUAACCAGGUGACCGGGGGUUCAAAUCCCCCCCGGCCCG
rnacentral:tRNA from 1 species